UAAAGACUUAAUAAUUAGGGUUCGGCAUCCAUUAAUAAUAAAACUGAUUUGAUUUAUCUGAUAUGAUUUAAUUGUUAUAUAUGUGUUUUGAUGUGCUAAAUUCUUAUUAUUAUUUGAAUUCGUUUGAGAUUUAAAGGAUUAUUGAGUAGUCAAUAAUUAUUAUUUCGGAUUAUAACUGACUUAGCAGAGUCAUGUUAUUUAAUUUAUAUACGAUAGAAAUAAUAUUUCUAUUAUUUACUUGAAGUCGUAAUUAAUUUUCGACUUAUAAAACGAGUUAUAAAAUAUGUAAUUUAUAGAGAGUUAUAACGAAGCUUCGUUAUAUGAGAACCCGAAAUUAGUAUUACAAAUACAGAAUAAGGAUUUUAUUCAUCACAUUCAUCUAGCACCUACACAUUUCCACAUCCAUCUUACUCUUAAAUAAAUUGAUGGUGUUGGAAACACUCAUCAUAUGCCAACCAUCCCACUAAACACUCAUCAUAUGCCAACUAUCCCACUAAACACUCAUCAUUUCACUAAACACUCAUUAUUCCACACACUCAUCAUUCCACUAAACACUCUUUACACCUUCUUUUGCCAGCCAUCUUCUACACUUUAACAUCUCAACAUGCAAUUAGCUUUUAUUUAAUCAAAAUCAGCAACCAACAUUCCUCCCAUUCCUCCUAACAUUCUGAUCCAAGCUAUUCUUAUGCUUGAAUUAUAAUUCACUGAUUCCAGCUUUCCAAAUCAGUUUCCAAGAUUUCCCAAAACAAGAAAGAGAUCCAAUUUUGGUGAAUUCAGAAAGAAGAUUUUCCUCAUUUCCUACUCAUAUCAAGGUUACCUCCUACUUUACUUUCUCCAUACAUUCAUUUGUUAAAUUACAAAACUAUGAUUCAAAUGAAAACAGAUCGAACACACGCAUCCAUUACCACUUCUUUUAGACUAUUAUUGUUUCAAUUACAUCAGCUUAUUACCAUCAGAGAACCACCAACAGAAUAAUACACACGCACACAUUUUACUAUAUUUCUAUCUAUUACAAGUACAGAUCAGUUUUUGUAAAUAGAAAUGAAUGAAAAUGAACAGAAUUGAAACCCUAAGUGCUCUAUGUGUGUUUUGUGCGUGUGACUGAAAUUUGGAGAGUUCCUUGUGUUUUGCUUGCGUGUGUGUUGUUCGAAUCGUGAGAGGGGAAGGAGGGAGCAGCAGGCGGCUGUUCGGCGCCGGCAACGGCGGCGCGGCGGCAACUGCCGUCCAGUCCUUGUCCUGCCAAAACGAGAGAGAAGAGGGUAGAGAGAGA